AGCCUUCUGAAUCCGUCCCGUGAUCUUGUCAGACACCAGUACUGAUGAGACUCCCAAGAUAAGUGAAGCG
rnacentral:pre_miRNA from 1 species